rfam:TPA: Bos taurus chromosome 13, whole genome shotgun sequence.
UCCCUGGUAGCUCAGACGGUAAAGAAUCUACCUGCAAUGUGGAAGACCCAGGUUCAAUGCCUGGGUUGGGAA